rnacentral:rRNA from 1 species
AGGGGGACAACAGUUGGAAACGACUGCUAAUACCGCAUGACGCAUUUUGAUCGCAUGGUCGAAAUGCCAAAGAUUUAUCGCUGAAAGAUGGCCUCGCGUCUGAUUAGCUAGUUGGUGAGGUAACGGCCCACCAAGGCGACGAUCAGUAGCCGGACUGAGAGGUUGACCGGCCACAUUGGGACUGAGAUACGGCCCAGACUCCUACGGGAGGCAGCAGUGGGGAAUAUUGGGCAAUGGGCGCAAGCCUGACCCAGCAACGCCGCGUGAAGGAAGAAGGCUUUCGGGUUGUAAACUUCUUUUAAGUGGGAAGAGCAGAAGACGGUACCACUUGAAUAAGCCACGGCUAACUACGUGCCAGCAGCCGCGGUAAUACGUAGGUGGCAAGCGUUGUCCGGAUUUACUGGGUGUAAAGGGCGUGCAGCCGGGCAUGCAAGUCAGAUGUGAAAUCUCAGGGCUUAACCCUGAAACUGC